rnacentral:rRNA from 1 species
UACGAGGGGGGCAAGCGUUGUUCGGAAUUACUGGGCGUAAAGGGCGCGUAGGCGGCCCGCUAAGUCGAACGUGAAAUCCCCAGGCUCAACCUGGGAACUGCGUCCGAUACUGGCAGGCUUGAAUCCGGGAGAGGGAUGUGGAAUUCCAGGUGUAGCGGUGAAAUGCGUAGGUAUCUGGAGGAACACCGGUGGCGAAGGCGGCAUCCUGGACCGGUAUUGACGCUGAGGCGCGAAAGCUAGGGGAGCAAACGGG